AUUGAACGCUGGCGGCAGGCCUAACACAUGCAAGUCGAGCGGAUGAAGGGAGCUUGCUCCUGGAUUCAGCGGCGGACGGGUGAGUAAUGCCUAGGAAUCUGCCUGGCAGCGGGGGAUAACGUCCGGAAACGGGCGCUAAUACCGCAUUCGUCCUGAGGGAGAAAGUGGGGGAGCUUCGGACCUCACGCUAUCAGAUGAGCCUAGGUCGGAUUAGCUAGUUGGUGGGGUAACGGCCUACCAAGGCGACGAUCCGUAACUGGUCUGAGAGGAUGAUCAGUCACACUGGAACUGAGACACGGUCCAGACUCCUACGGGAGGCAGCAGUGGGGAAUAUUGGACAAUGGGCGAAAGCCUGAUCCAGCCAUGCCGCGUGUGUGAAGAAGGUCUUCGGAUUGUAAAGCACUUUAAGUUGGGAGGAAGGGCAGUAAGUUAAUACCUUGCUGUUUUGACGGUACCAACAGAAUAAGCACCGGCUAACUUCGUG
rnacentral:rRNA from 1 species